UGCAGAUACAAACUCACUGAGUGAAACGACUUCAGCAGCAGAGACGGAUUCUUCUCAGACUGCAGAUGAAACUUUAUUGUCCUCACAUGGAAAUCUGCUGUCUGUGGGAACCCGCUGUGGAAUCACCAUGGCAACCACUUUAAAGUCACUAUGUGCUGGAAACUGUGAGCCUCACCUGCUCCUGACCAGAGCGGUUUAAAGAGGGCCGAGUGUGAAUGUGAGAGCAGAAGAUCAGGAAAAACAGACGAGAGGAAGAGGAGAAAGUGACAGUUGGGAUUACAGAGGAGAGAGUGACAGAACCUCAGAGAGGAGCAUCAGCGACGCUGAGCCAAAUCAUGAGGAAAUUCUACAUUUACCAAAGUGUUUCAUAUUUUACUGCACAGUGUUUACUCAGCAGCUGCAGUUUCUGAUUUAUUUAUGAACCUAUGUUCUUACAAACCUGAGCAGCAAACUAAAGAGCAGCAAAUAUAACCAGACCAAAGAGUUUCUGAGUCAGCAUCGAUCUGUAGCUGCUGUGCAGCCUUUCACAGCAGAGGCAGACCUGGGAUCAGCUGCAGAGCUGAGAGGAGUCCCCACCGUGUGAUGAAGCUGUGGACUCCCUCUGCAUGCCCUUCUUGGGUCGGCUUCAGUCUUACUCUGUGUGUGUGUGUGUGUGUGGCUGUGUGUGUGUGUGUUUGCUGCUGCAGCGUGUUUUGUCUUUAUAUGGUUCUCGGCUCUCUGCUGCCUCUGCUCAGCGGUUCAACGACACGGCGCUGAAAAACCUGAGCUGUGACUCCAGCUGAUCCACGUGAUUACAUCAGCUUCAUGAUUCUGACCAAUCAAAACGACAGGAACAGAGCAGGUAAUGAGACGGUGUG